UACGUAGGUGGCAAGCGUUGUCCGGAAUUAUUGGGCGUAAAGCGCGCGCAGGCGGUCCUUUAAGUCUGAUGUGAAAGCCCACGGCUCAACCGUGGAGGGUCAUUGGAAACUGGGGGACUUGAGUACAGAAGAGAAGAGUGGAACUCCACGUGUAGCGGUGAAAUGCGUAGAGAUGUGGAGGAACACCAGUGGCGAAGGCGACUAUCUGGGCUGCAACUGACGCUGAGGCGCGAAGGCUAGGGUAGCAAACAGG
rnacentral:rRNA from 1 species